UGGGGAAUAUUGCACAAUGGGCGAAAGCCUGAUGCAGCAACGCCGCGUGAGGGACGACGGCCUUCGGGUUGUAAACCUCUUUUAGCAAGGAAGAAGCGAAAGUGACGGUACUUGCAGAAAAAGCGCCGGCUAACUACGUGCCAGCAGCCGCGGUAAUACGUAGGGCGCAAGCGUUAUCCGGAAUUAUUGGGCGUAAAGAGCUCGUAGGCGGUUUGUCGCGUCUGCUGUGAAAACCCGAGGCUCAACCUCGGGCCUGCAGUGGGUACGGGCAGACUAGAGUGCGGUAGGGGAGAUUGGAACUCCUGGUGUAGCGGUGGAAUGCGCAGAUAUCAGGAAGAACACCGAUGGCGAAGGCAGAUCUCUGGGCCGUAACUGACGCUGAGGAGCGAAAGGGUGGGGAGCAAACAGGCUUAGAUACCCUGGUAGUCCACCCCGUAAACGUUGGGAACUAGUUGUGGGGUCCAUUCCACGGAUUCCGUGACGCAGCUAACGCAUUAAGUUCCCCGCCUGGGGAGUACGGCCGCAAGGCUAAAACUUAAAGGAAUUGACGGGGUCAU
rnacentral:rRNA from 1 species